rnacentral:rRNA from 1 species
CCUACGGGUGGCAGCAGUGAGGAAUAUUGGUCAAUGGCCGCAAGGCUGAACCAGCCAAGUAGCGUGAGGGAAGACUGCCCUAUGGGUUGUAAACUUCUUUUAUGCGGGGAUAAAGGUGUCCACGUGUGGCUGUUUGCAGGUACCGCAUGAAUAAGGAUCGGCUAACUCCGUGCCAGCAGCCGCGGUAAUACGGAGGAUCCGAGCGUUAUCCGGAUUUAUUGGGUUUAAAGGGAGCGUAGAUGGGUUGUUAAGUCAGUUGUGAAAGUUUGCGGCUCAACCGUAAAAUUGCAAUUGAUACUGGCAGUCUUGAGUACAGUUGAGGUAGGCGGAAUUCGUGGUGUAGCGGUGAAAUGCUUAGAUAUCACGAAGAACCCCGAUUGCGAAGGCAGCUUACUAAACUGUGACUGACAUUGAUGCCCGAAAGUGUGGGUAUCAAACAGGAUUAGAUACCCUUGUAGUC